AAACAUACUACGAGAAAAUAAAACCGUUUGUGUUAAAAGUUUUUUUAUAAUAUAUAAUAUGAGGAAUAUUCAAGGAUUACAUUUACAUUACCUAUUUGUGGAAAAUCUUUGUUUAACGAAGAAGAAUAAAGACGUUAAGAGUCUUCCAAAAAAAUAAACACGAAUAAUGGACACAAUAGAGGAAAAAACGCAAAACGAAGAAGUUGAAUUAGUGACUGGAAAGUUAGC